GGGAUAAAUUUUUAGGGAUUGGAUUUGGAGGAGUCAGGGGGAGAGAUAAAGACCUGCAGUUAGGUUACCUGCUUACCUGGCUGGAGUCAUGUUUGCUGAAUCUUAAAGAGCAAGCAUGCCUUGGUAAGAUAAGGAUGUCUUUCUCUGAGAGCUAGCAGCUUACAGAGGGAAAGCUAGAGCACACCUCUCACUGUGUGCAGUGCAGAAGGGUGAACAUAAUCAGGAUUUCUUCCUUUGGGCCUGAGUCAAUUGCAAGAGGAAAAAUAAUGCGGAAAAGAUGUGGCAUGAAGGAGGUGUAGGUGUGUCCUAGAAAACAUGGUCAGCCUGGAGGAGGUUUGUCAGUGGAUGAUUUUACUAGACUGUAGAAUUAUGUAAACCAGACCUGUUCUGUAAAUAACUAUAUAUUAAAUCCACAAGUGUGUCCAGUCUCAGAUUCACAAUUAGUCAGUGCUCUCCACCCAACAUAGCCAUGAACCUGAAAUGAAUCAACAGUCUGAGGUAUAUAUGGCACAGUAUAUGUAAAGGACCAUGAGAACUACACUCUGUAGCUUGGAAGGAGUAUGGAAUAUAUCAAAGGAGGCUGUCUCAGACCAUACUGUAGGGAGCAGGGCAGCCUCUCUUUUCUGAUGCAUUGCUUUAGCUGUGCACAAAUCCCCUGGAGCCUUUCAAGGGUGUUGGAACACAAAGCAUGCAUGCUUGAGAGGCUGUAGUGGGUAGCUGAGGAAAACUAACCAUAGGUUUUGAUAGAGAGGUAGGCUUUUCUGUGUUAUAGCUUAUGACAGCAAGUGGAAAAUGCUUCAGUGAGGCGGGCUGGCACUUAAAAUCAGAGCACAGUAAUAGACAGAAGUGCUGAAGUCAACAGGCUUCUUAGAAGUAUGGUUGCCAUCUGCUGAGAAAGCCUUUCAGUGGCCACAGACAUGCAUUUGCAACCACAGCCAGUUCAUUUUUUCCUUGAAUGUGGGACUGUGACCUUGAUUGACGCCAGCAAGAGCAGUGUACUUCCAGAGAAGGGAGAUCUAGUUCAUGCACAAAUCCAACACAAGUAGGAAAUAGGUGAAGGAGAACCAAGGUAUGUGGGCUUAUACACAGCACUCAGUUUAGGUGACAAUGCUGUUCAUUAUCUCCUGGGGGUGGCUUUAAAUAUUCUCCCCUAAAAAAUAGAGAAGAGAGAGAGAGAGAGAGAGAGAGAGAGAGAGAGAGAGAGAGAGAGAGAGAGAGGAAGGAAGGAAGGAAGGAAGGAAGGAAGGAAGGAAGGAAGGAAGGAAGGAAGGAAAAGGAACGG
rnacentral:lncRNA from 1 species